rnacentral:lncRNA from 1 species
GAAGGUCUUAGUUGCUUAAUGAGAUGAAAGGUUUGAUGCUGAAGUAUGGAAUUCUAUUCAGGAAGAAGACAAACUAACAAAAAUUAUCACCCCAAACUGUGGCUACCAGUUAAAUAACAGUGAAGAAUUCAAAAGGAAAGAUGAAUUUAUACGGGAACGUCUUGUCAAUGAAGCAUUCAUGUGGAACCUCUACAGGAACAGAAAGUCCACAGCAGGCCUCACAAAGAGAACUCUGAACUGAUGACACAAGGCUGCAAACAUAUAUGUGAAGCAAUAAAAUGCAAAGAGAUUGGAUAUCACAUCCUUGACCUCAACAUCACAGCUAAAUUCAAACUGCCUUAAGUGUACGCUGUAUUUAAUGGAUGACCAUAUAAACAUUUAAAAGGUACUUAAAGAAUGCAGGUCUAUCUAUAUUAGAAUCUGGAACAAAGAACAGAGUCUGCUGUUCACCAAAUAUUUUUAAAUUAAUCUUUCUGUGUUGUGUCAUGGGAUCAUAAACACAUCAUUAAGCUGACCUUAUUUUGAGAGAAUUUAUUCACUUGGAUCUCAUUUUAAAUAAAGCCAGUCAACUUCCCAAAUAUUUCUCAAUAACUUUACCUAGCAAACGAUCACCAUGUAGCAUUCUACUCCCUCUGCAGAUAUUCCCCAACAUCAGCUUGCACUUGUUAGUGUAUUAUAUUUGUUGUGUCUACUUGAGUCUCCCCAUUCCUCUUAUCUGUUGAAGACCUGAAACUCCCAAUUUGUUUUAUAUUAUUUGUCUACUAAAAAUGAAAUAUUUCCAGCUGUGUCUCCAUACGUGUUGAAAUAUUCUAUCUUCAACCAGUUACUG